rnacentral:rRNA from 1 species
GGGGGGGGGGGGGGGGGGGGGGGGGGGGGGGGGGGGGGGGGGGGGGGGGGUGGGUGGGGGGUGGUGGAGGGGGGACCGGGUGGGGAAGAGGGGGGUGAUCUGCCCGGCGCUGCGGGAUAAGGGUGGGAGACUGGGGCGAGUACCGGAGGGGAGCCAGUGUUAGGGUGAGGGUGGGAAAGUUUGUUCGGUGUAGGUUGGGCUCGCGGCCUCUCAGCUUGUUGGUGGGGUAAUGGCCUACCACGGCGGCGACGGGUAGCCGGCCUGAGAGGGUGGACGGCCACAUUGGGACUGAGAUACGGCCCAGACUCCUACGGGAGGCAGCAGGGGGGAAUAUUGCACAAUGGGCGCAAGCCUGAUGCAGCGACGCCGCGUGGGGGAUGACGGCCUUCGGGUUGUAAACUCCUUUCGCUAGGGACGAAGCUUUUUGUGACGGUACCUAGAGAAGAAGCACCGGCUAACUACGUG